UAUAAAUCCCAUACUAUAAAAUUCACCCUUUAAAAGUGUAUAAUUCAGUGGUUUUUAGUAUAUUUGUGCAACCAUCACCCAUAUCUGAUUCCAGAACAUCAUCAUCCUCAAACCCUGGAAGAAGCAUUAUUUUUACAACUUAAUUUUACAUCUAUGUAGAUUGGCAUUCUCUCCCUAAAAUUAACCUCAAUCCUGAUUUUAUAGUAAGUACUUCUUACAGUUUUAUCACCCAGAUGUACAUUUCCGGACACCAUUAUCCCUGUGGCCCCCUCUUCCUCUACACUUUUGAGUCUGUCUUUAUAAGUGCCCCUUCCUCUUCCUAACAGUUUAUUUGUUGAAGAAC
rnacentral:lncRNA from 1 species